CUACGGGUUGCUCCAGUGGGGAAUAUUGGACAAUGGGGGAAACCCUGAUCCAGCAAUGCCGCGUGUGUGAAGAAGGCCUGCGGGUUGUAAAGCACUUUCGGUUGGGAGGACUGCUUCUAGCACUAAUAUUGUUGGAAGUUGACGUUACCUUCAGAAGAAGCACCGGCUAACUCCGUGCCAGCAGCCGCGGUAAUACGGAGGGUGCAAGCGUUAAUCGGAAUUACUGGGCGUAAAGCGCGCGUAGGCGGCUAGAUCAGUCGGGUGUGAAAGCCCCGGGCUUAACCUGGGAACUGCAUCCGAUACUGUCUAGCUUGAGUACAGGAGAGGAGAGUGGAAUUCCACAUGUAGCGGUGAAAUGCGUAGAUAUGUGGAGGAACACCAAUGGCGAAGGCAGCUCUCUGGCCUGAUACUGACGCUAAGGCGUGAAAGCGUGGGGAGCAAACAGGAUUAGAUACCCCGGUAGUC
rnacentral:rRNA from 1 species